AGCCACUGCAACGAGAGAUCCAAGCCGCAUCUGCAGCCUACACCACAGCUCACGGCAACGCUGGAUCCUUAACCCACUGAGAAAGCCAGGGAUCGUACCUGCGUCCUCAUGGAUGCUAGUCAGAUUCGUUUCCGCUGAGCCACAGUGGGAGCUCCAUAAUUUCUUUUUAUUCUAAGAUAUUUAUAAAGAAUCAUUAGUAGGGUAAUGCCAUGAUAGAGUGGAAAGAGCACCAAGCUAGCUCGAAGUCAGCACUGUGGACUUGAAGUGUGCCUGCCACUUUUGAGAGUGUGGCUCUCUCUGCCUCUGUUUCCUGCCUGUAAAUUGGGUAUGUGUCAACUCCUGUCUCCUAUCUGCCUUACUGGUUGCUAUCCUAGUGAGGAUCAAAUGGCCUGCUGUUUCUGAAAGGUCUUGGCAAACAGCAAUGUCGGGUAUAUGUGUGUGUGUGUGUGUACACACAUAUAUAUGGGAUGUGUAUGGCAAAGUGGUAUAAGUAUACACAUAUAUAUAAUAUAUAUCUUUCCUGUGUAUCUUUUCCCCCUCUAUUUCUUACCCAAAGUGCCCAUUAGACUAGACUUAUAAUGUCAACCAAACUGUCUAAUAAAUGUAAACCACACAUGUUUUCAUUCUGGAGGUGGUGCUGGCUUGGCAAUCAUAGGUUCAUUGUAAAUAUGUAAAAUUCCAGAGCGACACCUCAGAUUCAUGAGUUGGCUGCCACUGACUGGGAGUUAAGUAGCGAAGCCUUUUUUUCCCAUUUCCCCUCAACUGAAAUACCAUGCUUUUGGUAUUUCUGGAAAGUUCCCCAAUGGAUUUAAAGUUCUGACUGGAAAGGGAGGGAAUCAUCCUUGAUUUCAUUACUCCAAGUCACUUGCCAUUGUCAGCCGGUUUCAUUCUGGUCUUCUUUGCAUGUAUUUGCUGCUUGGAAAGGAUCAUAAGGUAAAUUCCCUUUUGUGUCCUGCAUUUUGGACCUGAUAUUAUACUUAAAGCUUUCUCCAUUUUCCUACCCCCCCAAAAAAGAUUGCAUAAUAUUCCAUUGUAUGGAUUUUAUCUCUGUCUCCAUUCUAUGCUAAUUAUUUUAAAAUGAAUUUUAAAACUCAUUGUUUCAGUACACAUCUAUGCAUAAAAUCUUGUCUAGAUAUAGAUGGCUUCCACAGAAAAUGGGUUCCUCAAGAAGCAGUUUUGGGAUCAAGGGUAUUCAUGUUUUGAGGCCAUUGAUAAUGACUUGAAGAUUGUUCCAGUUUGCAUUCUCAUAACAGUUGUCAAAGGACUCACUUUUCACACCGUUGACUUUUUCUCUGAAAAACGUAUUUCCUCACUUACAAGUCAGAAGUUGGUACCUUGAUUUAAUUUGUGUGUUUUGGGUUACGCCUAGGUUGACUAUUUUCUUCCAGUAUAUAAGCUGUUUGCACAGGUCUGUAAUCCUUUAUGGACAAUUCUGAAAUCUGAAAACCUCCAAAAACCGAAAGUUUUUUUUUGAGGCUUUCUGCAUGCUCUGUUGGUAGGUAGAACCUAACCUGAACCCGUGUGGGAUUCUAUGGUGUUUAUUUAUCUCACCCAGUUUGAAUAUUGCUGAGUUUUGGUUGCGGUAAUAGUAAUGAGCUUGAUUUCUGAGUGUUACAUAAUGUGCGCUAGAUGCGUUGCUACCUCUCUGGAAUUACAAAGUCUGCAUUUCGGAGGCACAGCUGACCUCCAAAGCACAUCUGACCUCCAGGUUUUCGGAUAAGGGAUUAUGGUCCUGCAUUUCCUCUUUGUGACUCAUCUGUUCUUGAUUGUGGGUAACCAAAUGUAAAACUGCUCAAAACUGUAAAAGAGCCAGCGGAGAAAAAGAACUCCUCAAAGGAGUGGCACUUUGUGAAAAGAAGCACCACUUUGGUAUCAGUGUGGAAUCUAAUGAAAUAAAGAUACCUGGGCAACGCGGAGGUUUCCUGUAUUUUAGGUGGCUUGACGAAUGGGUGCCUAUGAUAAGGGAAACUCUGCUUUCCUCUGCCAGGUAUUGACACAGCUUUCUUUGUAAGGGAGAGAAGAAAUGGGCUCUGUCCAAGGGACUUUUAAGGGAGGAAGAGAGGGUGGAGGGUGAUGGAUACCCCAGGUAAACUGAGUCCCCAUGCCCAGUCAUCUCACCUUGAGGAACCUUGUGCCAAACCUGUUGAGCGCAGGGGUUUUUCUGUUCCCUUUUUGCAGUUCCUGAAGGUGCCUGCCUUCUUGUCAGCUCAUCCCAGGAUCCCAAACAGCUGCCAGCUCUCCCUGACACUCCCCUUCACCCCAUUUUGUUUGCACACCCCUGUGUAUGACUGCGUUCCAGCCACCAAGAAAGUGCUUCUUGUACAGAGGGUGAAAAAUCUUUGCACCACUUUCAUCAUCUGUGUCACAUCAGUCAGAUAGGACAGAGCUGCUCUAGAAUUUUCCUUUCAGGUCCUCUGCUGCUGCCUGAGGUGUGCCCUGUCUCGUCUUGCUCCCGAGCCCAGGCUGCUGAGGCUGGGCGGGAGGUCGAGGACGGCAGGGUUGGGCAGUGCCAGGGCCCCAGCAGGGGAGGAGCAGGGGCCGCUGGGCCUGGCAGGGAUUUCUCUUGGGGUGCAGGGGAGAUGGGGGACUGAGCCAUUCGCUACCAAAAUUAGGCAAGGAAGAAGAGAAAGGAAAAAGGAAACCAUUACCUUUAUAAGGGGAGAAUGUGACAAUUUCUUUUGAAAGGAUUUUGAAAGAUUCACCCGUUGGUUUUUUCCUUGCCAGUGGAUCUAUAGGUCCAGUCGUAGUUUGGACAGUUUCCUCUAGGAUUUUUGUGAUUAUCCUACUGAUAUCCUUUUUGAUUAUCCAGGAUUGGACUGGUCAUGGUUCACUGGGGAAUGGUGUGUUGAAGUAGAGUAUAAUAAGAUAUGUUUAUAUGCUUCACCUGCUAUCAAACAUAUAUGUUUAAUGCAAAAUAUGUUUGUUCUCAGUUACUGGCACAAAGUUCCUCAAACCCUUGGAAUUUCCCCAUGAUAGGAGUGUCUUUUUUCUUAAAGAGCCCUCUUUGAGCAAAUGCUAAUGAGCCGACUGAGGGUGGUGCCCCUAGAGAGUGGGAGUGGUUGCCCGAAAGAGAGUGGGAGUGAAGUUUGGAACUGUCAGCCUGGCCCACUCACCUCUGGGAAGGGGAAGAGGCUGCAGAUGAAGUGCUUUAAACAGUUGAACAAGACUUGAUGAGCUUCCUGAUUGGAGAUGCUGGAGAGUCUCCUGCCCAGAGGUCCUGGGAGCUCCACCCCCUGUCCCCCCACGUUGCCCUGGGUAUCUCAGCAAUAAGUAAGUAAGAUGUUACCCUGAGUUCUGUGAGCUACUCUAGCAAAUUAAUCGAACUCAAGGAUGGGAUCGUGGGAACCUCCAAUUUGUAGCCAGUUGGUCAGAAGCGCGGGUAACAACCUGGACUUGGAGUUGGCAUCUGAUGGCUGGGAAGGGGUUGGGGUGGGAAGAGGGGGAGUCUUGUGGGUCUGAACCCUUAACUGCUGGGAUCCGGGUCAUUUCAGGAUUGAGUGAGUUGCUUGAUGGUGUGGGGAAAACACGUGCUGGAGCAGGGAUGUAGAAUCCCGGAGUAUUAGGGCCGACAUCUCCUCAAAGCUUAUUGAGCAGAUGAGGACACCGAGUUGGCCUGGCCAGGUCAUAAGGGGGUUCUUUGCUCUGUCUGGGACUCUUUCCAUUGUGUUCAAGCUGUGUCUCCAUGGAAGGGCAACCCCGCUUUGCUGCUCCUGGCAAGACUCUUAGGUCCACACUUGCCCUUGGUCCCCACACUCCAGGGGCUGGUUUCUCAGCUCUGGAUUUGGGCUGAGCAGGCCUGAGAAGAAUGACUUUGGCUACAUGACUUCGGAGAAUCAUUGUGGUGUUCUUGCUCGUGUGAUUUUAGAGUCAGCGGGGACUCAGUGGUCACCCUAUAACUAAGCCCUCCCUUUGCAGAGGGGGAAGCUUCCGUUCAGUUGCUUGUGGGAAUCAGGAGCAGCCAGGGCCCUCGGGAGGAGCAGAACAUUCGGUUUGGUGAGGGAGGGUAAUGUGUGUGUGUCUUGGUCACUAUCCAAGGCUCAGAUCCAAGCUCAGGACCCGGAACAGAGCAGAUGCUUACAAACAUUUGAGUGAAUAAAGGAAGGAAGGAAACUGGAGCUGGAAUCCAGGUGUUCUGACUCAGCCUGAGGCUUUUGCUUUAUAAUAAGGCAAAGACUUCUGCUUUCCAGAAUCAUCCACAAAUCUUAGCUGCACGUCUCCUCUCCCCCUCCAGUCCCGACUUGGUAAGAGGCUGCUUUGUCUGCCAGCCUCUAGGGGCAUCUUGCUCCAAAAGCCUGAGGUGGGGAAUCUGCAUGGAGAAAAACAGAAUAACAAUAAAAAAAGUUAAGCCAGUUCUCCCUUAUCAGGUGAGUACGGUGUGUCAUUGACACAUUUGAAAAGUGCUAGUGAAAAUUUUCAGUGCAAAGGUUUUCAAAACCCACAUCCAUUCAUGGAGCUCUUUCUAAAGACAAACUAAAUUCAGUUGUGUUUCUACAAUCAGUACUUCAAAUGCAUGCAUUAGUAAUAAUAAGCAUAUAUGUAAUAUUCCUAAUAAUAUGUAUCUAUUAUGUAAUAUAUACACAUACUAUUCCUAAUUUUAUAAUACUUUAUACCUUUCCUUUAUACCUUUGUUACACAGCUUAAUUCUAUAAAUUAUGUAUUCAUUCAGCAAAUAUUAGCCCCUUUAAAGGCAAAUAUUAGCCUUACUGUGUGCAAGGCCCUGGGGCGAAGUGAUGAGCACAAACUAGACACAGUCUGCGCCUUUAUGGAGCCAGCACAGGUUAUCAUGGAGGAUGAUUAAACGAGCAAUAAUGAUGAAGUGUCAUUAGUACUUUGAUAAAGAAACUAUGGCCCAGGGCCAGAAUACCCAGCCUGGGGCUGAGGGUGAAAUGAGAGCUGAGUGCAGGUUGAACAAGACUUUCUGGAGGAAGUGAAGUUUGAACUCCCAGUUGUAAAAAUGUCAGCGUUACCAGGUGAAGAGCACAGGUGGUCAUGGAAGAGAGGGGGUGAGAGCAAGCAAAGUCACAACAGCGGUCCCCAGCCUCGAGCACGCAUCAGAAUUAACUAGAGGGCUUGUCACAAUGCAGCUCCGUCACUGUGCACCCAUCUUCUAGUGUCUGUAGGUCUGGGAAGGGACUGGACUUUGCAUUUCUUUUUUUUUUUUUCUUUUCUUUCUUUUCUUUCUUUUUUUUUUUGUCUUUUAUUUUUUAUUUUUUUAAGGCCACAUCCCUGGCAUAUGGAAGUUGAAUUGGAGCUGCAUCUGCAGGCCUAGGCCACAGCCACAGCAACUUGGGAUCUGAGCCACGUUUGCAACCUUCACCACAGCCACAGCAAGGCCGGAUCAUUUAACCCACUUAGCGAGGCCAGGGAUCAAACCUGCAUCCUCAUGGAUACUAGUUGGGUUUGUUACUGCUGAGCCAUGACGGGAAUUCCUGCAUUUGUAACUCAUUCUAGAUGGUACUGCCUAAGCAUCUGAACCUGGAAAUCCCUCCCCUUUUCAUGGGCUGUUCAUCCUGUUUCCCUGCCAUUCUUCAAGCUGAGAUCCAGGUAACCUUUCCUAGGAAUUCCCUGAUUUUAUCUCCUGUGAAUAUACACCUGAGUCCAUGAAAACUUGUUGCAUCUCCUCUAUGUUAUUUAACAGAGAAUUACAGCCAGCUGUUUCCACUGUGUUUUGUCUUAACUAGACAGCAGAACACAUAAGAUGUUCAAAUAUUUGAUGGCUUGAUCAGAUUUAUUUCUUGCAACCACUGUGAGGAACAGGUUGCUCUAUUCUCUGUUUUAUAGAAAUCAGGAAACAGAUGAACAGAGUGGGUAACCAAGACAAAAUCAGGUGUCUCUCUCAAGUCCUAGAUGAGAGGAAGCCAAAGCAAGAUGUAUGUUCGCUCAUUGUUCUCAAAAUCCUUUAUUUUUAUGUGAAAUUGCAUGUACUCUGUGUUCAGCACUACUGGUAAAAGGAAGUUAGUUAGUUAGUUUGUUUAUUUAUUUAUUAUUUUUGACCUUCUUCAUUGUAGGUCCAUAGCCUUUUUUUUUUUUUUUUUCCUUUUUACAGCUGCUCCCGCACCACAGCCACAGCAGCACAGGAUCCAAGCCGUGUCUGUGACCUACACCACAGCUCAUGGCAACGCUGGAUCCCUAACCCACCAAAUAAGGCCAGGGAUCGAACCUGCAUCAUCCUGGAUACCCGUCAGGUUCUUAACCCCAUGAGCCACUGUGGAAACUCUGAUCCAUCUCUUUAAAGAUAAAAUCAAGGCAGCUCGUUAACUGAAUGUAGUUUAUUUUUUUUCCCUAAGUGGAAAAUGGGUAAUUAUCCAAGGAAUUCUUUAGGAAUUUCUUAUCUACUUUUAGAGUAAACAUUUGAAGGGACCCAUUCAAUGUAUAGGUCAUAGAUUUAGAAAUGAGUUUUAUGGAGUUCCCGUCUUGGCUCAGUGGUUAACCAGCCUGACUGGGAUCCA
ensembl:lncRNA